AAAGGGAGCGUAGGCGGAUGUUUAAGUCAGAGGUGAAAGCCCAGGGCUCAACCUUGGAACUGCCUUUGAUACUGGGCAUCUUGAGUGUGGGAGAGGUAAGCGGAACUCCGAGUGUAGAGGUGAAAUUCGUAGAUAUUCGGAAGAACACCAGUGGCGAAGGCGGCUUACUGGCCCAUUACUGACGCUGAGGCUCGAAAGCGUGGGGAGCAAACAGGAUUAGAUACCCCUGU
rnacentral:rRNA from 1 species